AUACGUAAGGGGCGAGCGUUGUUCGGAUUGACUGGGUGUAAAGGGUCCGCAGGCGGUCGGGUAAGUCGAGUGUGAAAGCCCGGGGCUCAACCCCGGAAUUGCACUCGAUACUGCUCGGCUUGAGGGCGGGAGAGGUCGGCGGAAUUCCCGGUGGAGCGGUGAAAUGUGUAGAUAUCAGGAGGAAUACCAGUGGCGAAGGCGGCCCCCUGGCCCAAUACUGACGCUGAGGUACGAAAGCGUGGGUAGCGAACGGGAUUAGAAACCCCGGUAGUCC
rnacentral:rRNA from 1 species